rnacentral:lncRNA from 1 species
UAGGAAAAUGUGCUACUGUGAUACUGAAAAUAUGAUAUCGUGAUACUGAAAAAUAUGAUAUCGUGAUACUAGAAAUAUGAUAUUGUGAUACGGUGUCACUAAUUAAUAUUAUGAUUUUGUUAUAUUGAAAUUGUUAUAAAUGUCAUGACCGUUAUGCAAUGGGUCGUCCGUUGGUAGUGGAUACUGUGAUUCUGUUAUAUUGAAACUGUUAUAUAAUGACUGCUACGUAAUGGGUCGUCCAUUAGUAGUGGAUACUGUGAUUCUAUUAUAUUGAAACUAUUAUAUAUGUCAUGACCGUUAUGCAAUGGGUCCUCCAUUGGUAGUGGAUACUGUGAUUUUGUUAUAUUGAAACUGUUAUAUAUGUCAUGAUCGCUACGCAAUGGGUCCUUCAUUGGUAGUGGAUACUGUAAUUCUGUUAUAUUGAAACUGUUAUAUGUGCCAUGACAGCUACGCAAUGGGUCCUCCAUUGGUAGUGGAUACUGUGAUUAUGUUAUAUUGAAACUGUUAUAUGUACUAUGACCACUACGCAAUGGGUCUUUCAUUGGUAGUUGGGUAUAUUGUACCUCGACUUCAAUGAUAGGAGUGGAGUCGAGAAGUGACUAUGAAUGAUAAGGAGAGUCGUGCCCCCAAAUUGUUAUGACCACUACGCAUUGAUGCCUCCCAUGGUAGUGUAACACGCCCUCUCGCCUGAAGGCAUAAGGAGAGAGUCGUGUCUUGCAAGGCCACAGCCUAUCGAAAACCCCAAAACGAGUUGGAGAUUGUGUACGUGAGUGAGGACAUUACAAAAUGAGACAUCCAUUUUUUAUUGUCCUCCUUCUUGAAUGAGGCUAGAAGUUCCAAGUUAUAGAAUUGACUUAGCCUGAUCGAUGUGGCUUCUACUUCGAGAAUAAAUGGAUCUAUUCUGCCUAUCUGAAUUAGGUAUUCUGUGUGAACAUCUGACUGUAACUGUGAUAAGAAUAGAUGUAUUUAUCAUCUCAAGAGAAAUUGAUACUCUGAUAUCUGAAUGUUACUCUCGUUAUAGGGCAAAUAUAUAUUCUGAUGCACGAUCCUACUCUGUGAUGCUAAUAUGAUUUCUGAUGAACCGUAGACCAUGUUAUUAUGUAUAUGUAUGUAGGUGGGAAUACAAGGGUAGUGAUCUACUUACUGGGCUUAUAGCUCACUCCGCUUAUUUUCAUAUGUGUAGAGUGAUAGUACCUAACUGUGGGAAUCGAGCAACAAUGUGGUAGUGGCAGACAUUUGAAGCUUCAGUCCUGUCAGGGAUUCCUUUUGCAUAAUAGGUGUCUGGUGGCGAUGCCACCGUGUUGUUUUGAUUGAUGUAUUGUAAAGUCAGGCUUGUAAGCCUUGAACAAUAUUGUAAAGAUCUUGGAAUAUGAAUGAAUACUUAAUGGUUUUAAUUUAUUCAGUUUCUGGUGCAUGAUAUAUAAGUUUUAUUUAAUUUUCGUGGUUUGCUUUGAUUCCGCACUUCUAACACACGUUGAGCCACUCCCACCUGAGUGACGUUCGCGAUAUCCGGUCGCGAUCCUGCACCCUGUCACCCUCCGAUAAGGUAUGGUAAGCGUCAGGGGUUGGGGUCGUGACAAUCUCCCUCUUAAAGUCAUUCCAUAUUUUAACGGUACAACUCCCUCGCUUGAUGUUGGCAUGCCUUUUU